rnacentral:lncRNA from 1 species
GAGAGCAGCACAACAGUUCAUCAAUGCUGCUCCAACUGUUAAGACUGUUCAGUUAACUGCCAUAACUGUCAACUGUCAUAACUUCCACAACUUGUAUGGCCUCACAGAGUUCUACAGCUCUUGAAAUUAACCUUUUACAUAUGCAUUUUGGAUGCUAACAUCCCACAUUCUGAGGGGAAGAAGAAGCAGAGAGUACACUCGCUAGCUCACAAGUAGGCAUACUUGGUAGAAAUACAUGUGAAACUCUCCAUUGCUGUAUCUUUAUUCUCUUGAAAACCUGAUGAUUUGCAUUGAAAAUUGCAACUGCCGUCAGCUUUAUUAUCAUUUAAUGCAAGUUUGCAUUUCCAGAGAAAGCUACAGCCAAAGGGCUAUAGCAAUAAUUUCAAAAACUGUAGCAUAGUCAUAUGACACAGCAGUUAUUUCUAGAUGAAGUGAAAGUCAAGAAAAUUCCUGACCCAUUCUGUAUAUUCACAAUCUAUGUCUUUGAGAAAUAAAAUAAAAAAAAUUUGAGCUAAAGAGUCAUUCAAAUAUUCUAACAGAACAAAACAAGACCCAUCUUUCCUCUGAAAGUUCUCUCUCUCAGAUGUAGAUUUUGUACACUAUUUACUUUCCCCACAUAAUAAUGCGACUUUAUUCACAGCGUGUUAUCAAAGUUCUACCAGCACAUCCUUGCCCUGGUGUUUGCAGUUGAUGAGAUCAAUGAGAAUCCCAAGGUCUUGCCCAAUGUCACUCUUGGGUUCCACAUCUAUGACAGCUACUAUCAAUCUAAGAUGACCUACCGCACCACUCUGGAUCUGCUGUUUAACUCAUAUAUCUUUGUCCCCAACUACAAAUGUGGCUCCCAGGAAAAUGUAAUAGGAGUCAUUGGGGGACUGAGCUCUGAGGUCACCUUAUGCAUGGCAGACAUCUUGGGUCUUUACAAAAUUCCACAGGUAGGAAUAUUCUGGGUAAGAGAAAAUUGAGAUUUCACACUAUAAUUCACUCUUCAGCUCUCUUUGCAGUAGGAGUCUAUUAAUUCAUAAAUAUGGAGUGGCAUAACAAGGACAAUUGAAAGGGACUUAAAUGUGUGGGUUUGUUGUUGUUAUAGCAUGGGGGUCUCUAACAAUGUGCAUGAGAGGGGUAGGUUACUAAGCAUAUGUGAUCAAUGCAUAUAAUGCAUAUAAGGGAAGAUUAAUUCAAAGGUGCCAGGUUGGUAAAUGGGAUAUCCAGAUGGAAUCAUAUAAGAUCCUGGGGGGGAAUUAUCAGUGGAUCAUAUAAGAUCAGGACAUGUUAACUAGAAAUGCUCCCCAUAUGAAAUAGGAAAUUGAGCAAGAUUGCUUGUGUAUUUUUUAUGUAAGAGGGAGUGGGUUCCCCACCCCACCCCCAAAAAAACAGUAAAUUUGAAAUGUGUGGGAUAAAUAGGUUUGUUAUGAAUACUUCCAUCAAUUCCUUAUGGUUUUCUUUUUUCUUUUUCAGAUUUCAUAUGGUUCAUUUGAAGCAGCCACAAAUGAUCAAAUUAAAUUCCCUUCUUUUUACCACAUGGCUCCUAAUGAAGCUCUUCAGUAUCAAGGAAUUAUCCAGUUGCUUCUGCAUUUUGGAUGGAAAUGGGUUGGGCUCAUCAUUCCAGCUAAUGAAGCUGGAGAACGUUUCUUGAAUACCAUUGAGCCAAUGUUUUUCAAAAAUGGGAUCUGUUCAGCAUUCACAGAAAGAGCUGAAUACCAUGUGCAUGUCACUGGUAAGAUAACUGAUAUGCUGAGAGAGACAAGGAUUUUGUCCCCAGCUUUCAUAACAAGCAAAGCAAAUGCAGUUGUUGUAUAUGGAGAAAGUGCAUCUAUUACAUGGUUGUCAACUGCUCUAAAGCUGAUGAAGUUAUCUGAGUUCAUAUUUUCCCAGUCUAAAAAGAACUUACGUGAAGGAAAAGUAUGGAUUACCACAGCUCAGAUUGAUUUCAUUUUAUAUGAACUUCAGAAAGUUAUUGAUGUUAAUAUACAAAUGUUGCAUGGUGCUAUCUCUUUUGCAAUUCAUUCCAAGGAAGUUCGUGACUUCCCAGAUUUUCUGCAACAUGUAAAUCCUUCCUGGGAAGAGGGAGAUGAUUUUAUCUCAGGUUUCUGGGAACAAACAUUUGAUUGUUCACUUGCACACUCCACAAAGUCAACAAAGAUAGCUAAGCCUUGUACCGGAGAGGAAAUGUUGGAGAGCCUUCCUGCGCCAUUUUUUGAAAUGAGCAUGACCAGCCACAGCUACAGUAUCUAUAAUGCUGUCUCUGCUUUGGCACAUGCCUUACAUAGGCACUUGGCUGGAUCCAACAGCAGAAGAAUGGAGGCUGCAGGCAGACGAUCUCCUCAGAAUAUAGAGCCUUGGAAGGUAAUGUUUGCAGUUACAAAAAGUUUGGUUUGCAAAGUGUUCACUAUUGUGCCCUGCCUUGAUAUUUUAUGUGAGUUGGUAUUUAGUUAUAAAUAAAACAAAUAAAAGGUAUCCUGUUAAAGAAACCAACAAUGAAGAUUUCUACUGCACUGCAGGCUAUGCUUCUUAUAGCAGAACAUAAAUUAAAGAGGGGGUUUGUCAUAAUGUUAACUUAAAAAACAACAACCCUCAGUUGUCAUCUCCCCUCUCCUAGAACACGUUCCUCUUAGAGUUAGAGUAUCUGCAUGGAGAAACAAUUGCACAUAUUUUAAUAUGUGAUUGAUUGGUCCCAAUUAUCCAAGAACAUAUAAUAACAUAAUACUGAUUAAAAAGUGAGAUGGAAAAAAGGCAUAAUAGACGUCUUUUAAUAUGACAAUAUGUAACCUUUCUUUCGAAUGUAUUCAAAAAUUAUCAAUCUGACUGUGUCAUGUAUGGUAUAAAAUUCCUUCAUUUGCAGAAAACAAGAAUGGUCCUCCCAAUUCUACACUUUCAUAAACUAUACUUUGAAUUAAAACUUUAUAACCCUUCGUUAUAAAGAUCUUGAAUGCAUCUAGGAAAGCUGUUCAGCAAUCUUAAUCAGAAUGUUAUAAUACUUUAUAGUCCUUUUGGUUCUCUUUCCACCUAGCUCCACUCAUUCCUACAGAAGAUCUCAUUCAACAACUCUGUUGGUGAUGAAAUUACAUUAAAUGAACGUGGAGAAUUAGCAGCUGGUUAUGAUAUUACAAAUUUGAUCACUUUCCCAAAUAGAUCCUACAUCAGGGUCAAAGUGGGAAGGCUGGAUCCUCAGGCCCCUGCAGGCAAAGAGUUCACCAUUAAUGAUGGACAAAUUAAAUGGCACAGGGACUUCACUCAGGUGAGGAAAUAAAUUUCUCAAAUGCCAACAUUCAUGGUUAUCCAAAUAAAAUGGGAUGCAAUGAAAACAAGGAGGCUUUUUUCACUUAGCACCUGAUUAAAUGUGAUGUUUCCUCGGAGAGAAAAGUAGGGUUUAUAGAGAGGAAAUUCAUAUAUAGAUGGAUAGUAUUUUAAUGGAGAGAAUCUCUAUUUGAACAAUUGGCUUUACUUGUGGGAACACGCUAGCAUGUUAGUUUAGAUUUUAGAAUGUUUUAUCAUUUUACUGUUGUUAGCCUCUCUGAGCCCGGCUUCAGCUGGGGCGGGCGGGAUAUAAAUAUUAUUAUUAUUAUUAUUAUUAUUAUUAUUAUUAUUAUUAUUGAGAUCCUCCUUGUUGCCCAGCUGAUGUUAAUCACAAUUUGCUUUGUAUGUGAUAUUAUAUUGUAUAUGAUAUGAAAAUUGCCUUUCUAUAUAUUGUUUAUUUGUAAGCCACCAAUGAGUAAGCAAUGUCCUUUAAGGAACACUGUAAGGUCUAACACUAAAUAAACAUAUGAGCCACAAUACGAAAAAGAGCAACAUGCACAGAAGACAUCUCGCAUUAAGGACCAAUGGCUAUCAGAUACUGUUGUCAGACAUUCUUUUAUGUGACGUCCCAGAGGCAGAUCUCCGGUUAGUGGAAUCUGAUAUAAUGCUAAGCUUCUUACAGCAUUGCUUGGGCUUAAAAUGAACAUUAUAAUCUUCUGGAGUUUGCAUGAUGCUAGGUGCAGCAGGUAUACAUCUAGGCAUAGAUGCACCUAGUGCAUCAACCUAAAAGGGCAUAAGCAGACCAGCCACAGAAGCCACUUGAGACCCUAGUGAUGAGUUGGAAUCUCAAGGUAGUUCCAGACUACAAACUUCUUCCUUCACAGUGAGUCCAAUCCCUCCCAGAAGGGAUCCCAAUCCUUUGAGAGACAGAAUCCACUCACCCAAAGCACUUUGGAAUUAUAAGGAUUCAGCCACCAUCCUGUCCAACACAACCUUCAGACAGCAGUUCAACACCUUCACUGGUUCUCCUAAUUCCUACGGAAAGCCGAGACAGAGAUGCAGGUCAUCAGUAUACAUAUGAACACUGUGCUCCAGAUUCCUUGAAGAUAGCCCCUAACUGUUUCAUAUAAAUGUUGAAUCACAAAGAUGAAAGAACCUGAAACCUCAUGGGGAACCACAGCCCAAAAACCAUGGAACUAAGCAAGAUGCUCCUAGUAGAACAUUCAUGUAACAAUUCUGCAAGUAGAAGCAAAACCGCUAAGAUAUACUCAAAUCUAAUAAUGCUUAACGGCUGCUUUUUAUCCCAUUUUAUGUUCCACUUGUGCCCAUAUGGAUCAUAGGUUUCACAUUAUUGGUCCUCCUAUUGCUGAUAGAUCCCCUGAUGUUAGAUUAAAUCCCAUAAAACCUUUAAAAACAAAAUUAUUCCUAUAUAUUUGGAUAGGUGCCACCCCUGUCAGUAUGUAAUGACAAAUGCCGUCCUGGUUACGGGAAGAAAAAGAAGGAGAGAAGUAAAUUUUGUUGCUAUGAUUGUGAACCAUGUCCCAGCGGGAUGUACUCAAAUGAAAAGGGUGAGAAAUGUCAUCUUAAGAUAGACCAAAAUGCACAAUUUAUUUAGCCAACUCUGAGGUCCUUAAAAUUUUGUUGUGGUGUGGGGGUUAAAUAAUUGAUUUCUGUAUUGUUGUCAUUGUUUACAAUAUAAUCUUUAAAAAAUCCUGAAGAAAAUAUUUUUUCAGAAAGGAACGUAAUACAUUUUGCAUCCAAAUUCUACUAAAUUCUGAUGGAAUAGAGGUGAUGGUCACUCCACGAAGAAGAAGACAGUUUGGGAAGAGAGUGAAUGUCUCAUUCAGUGGACCUCUCUUGGCUCACAAGAUUUCAGCUGUAACGUUGCUCUCUUUUCACUACAGGGCAUUCUAAGAAAGAGGAGGAGGGCCACUAAAAGAUAGAGAUAUCCUCUAUGUAGAAAUUCCAGAUUUGAUGCAUGAGAUCUAUUUUUGAAAUAUCUCAGACAAAAGUCUUUGAGUUAGAAGAUUGAAAGCUACCCCGGUAAAGAACAUUAGCUAGGUGGACUCCUGAGGACUAAAAUUCUUAAGAAUUGUCUGUAAUUUCAUUUUGUCUUUUCAGACAUGGAAACAUGUAUCAGUUGCCCAGCAAAUAAGUAUCCAAACAAAGACCAGGAUAAUUGCAUUCCUAAGAUACCAAACUUUCUGGGCUUUGAUGAAACUUUAGCCAUCAUUUCAACUUCCUCUGCACUAUUGUUUUCUCUGAUCACAGCUCUAGUGUUGGGCAUUUUCAUUAAGCACAAGGACACCGUAAUUGUCAAAGCCAACAAUAGAAGCCUGACUUACAUUCUCCUUGUGUCCCUCCUCUUGUGUUUCCUCUGCUCCUUGAUGUUCAUUGGAACACCUAAGCAGGCAACCUGCCCACUCCGACAAACAAGUUUUGGCAUCGUCUUCUCUGUGGCCCUGUCUAGCAUCUUGGCCAAAACCAUAUCAGUGGUUUUGGCAUUCAUGGCUACUAAGCCAGGAUCCACAAUCAGAAAGUGGGUAGGCAAAAAACUGGCUUAUUCAAUUGUCCUCUCUGGCUCCACUGUUCAAGUGGGGCUCUGUGGUCUUUGGCUGGCAACCUUCCCCCCAUUCCCAGAUUUGGACAUGAAAUCAAUGAGUGAAGAAAUUAUAUUCUUAUGUAAUGAAGGGUCCGUCCACAUGUUCUACUGUGUUUUGAGCUACAUGGGCUUCCUGGCCACUGUCAGCUUCACUGUGGCUUUCCUAGCCAGGAAGUUACCUGACAGCUUCAAUGAAGCCAAGUUCAUCACCUUCAGCAUGCUGGUCUUUUGCAGUGUUUGGGUCUCCUUCAUUCCAACUUACCUGAGCACCAGAGGAAAACACAUGGUGGCUGUGGAGAUCUUCUCCAUCUUGGCUUCUAGUGCUGGAUUACUGGCUUGCAUCUUUUCCCCCAAAUGCUACAUUAUUCUUGUGAGGCCUGACCUGAACACCAGAGAACAUCUAAUGCAAAGAAAGAUAUAAAUAAUAUAAAAUUUUGUAGUUCCAUGAUUGUUCUUAAUUUUCAACACUGAAAUGUCAAAAAUGUGAAUGAAUGAGGACAUGUGACCAAAUGAAAAUAUUUCAGCUGUUUUGUGCUCUGUUUCUGGGCUGCAAAAUUGUUGCAUGUUAUUUUAAGAGGCCAUUCAGACCAAAUGAGGCAAAUGUUCACAUAACCUUCUGAACUUCAACUGAAGACAAUGAAACUCUGAAAUUGAAAGAGAAACAUCAACAUUAUUCUAUAGUUGUUCUGAUUAGACAGCUAACGUAAAUGAAGUUAAGUAUUAGAGUUGUUUUUUACUAAGUGGUAUAUUAAUUAUUUAAGAAACUAAAUAAAAAACCUAUGUUAUAUUAGUGAGGCCUUAAUUCAACAAUAGAGAGCAACUGAUAUAGAGAAAUACAGUGGUACUUCGGGUUAAGUACUUAAUUUGUUCCGAAGGUCCGUUCUUAACCUGAAACUGUUCUUAACCUGAAGCACCACUUUAGCCUAUGGGGCCUCCUGCUGCUGCCGCACCACCGGAGCACAAUUUCUGUUCUCAUCUUGAAGCAAAGUUAUUAACCCGAGGUACUAUUUCUGGGUUAGCGGAGUCUGUAACCUGAAGCGUAUGUAACCUGAAGCGUAUGUAACCCGAGGUACCACUGUAUGUAAAUGACAGAUGUGUUUGUAGUUUCACUUAUGUUCUUGGUAUCAGUUUAGGAACAUGAGGUCGGACAAGUGUAUAUUGGAAUCCCCAUUUGUGUCUACAAACUAACUCACCCCUAAAUAUUACGGCUUGGUUUCUCCCACAAACACGAGAUGACUCUGGCUGUUAAUUAUUUCAGAUUUAUUGCUAAAACAACAAACUAUAUGGCGCUCCUCUACACAUUGUCCUCCCCAGAAGAUGGAGUUGCCCGGACUGAGCUCCUCCCCCUUCCCCAGCACGGAAGCCCCCAUCUUCUCUUCCAGUAUCUUUUGUGUGUCUCUGCCACUUUUGAAAUCCUGAGAUUUGGCAGAGAGUGUUUCCUGCAUUCCAACGUCUUGCCAACUAUUGGAGUUCUCACACAUCUGACUGUCCCUUUGGUCAGAGCUCAGAUUACAGCUGCUCUCCCCCUCCUCUCUGCUUUCUGCUGUUAACUGUCCUCUCCCUGUGCCUGCUUCUUCUCCUCCUGUCAGUAUCUGAGCUUCGCUGACACUAAAACACACUGCCUUGUGAGCUAUUUUGCUGGAGUCAAAUGGACACAGCUCUGAGAAUAGGCCCAAAUUAUCUUAUGCCCAGUAAAGAGCUCUCACAAACUGGACUGUUCCCCAUACAGUUGGUUUAUUACAAAAGAAUAAAUGAUAUUUUAACAAUAGAUUGAUUAGCAUAGUUCAGAAUAUAUAGAACCAUGGGUGCAUAUCCUCACGCAUUCAAACUCAAAGUAAUAAGUUCCUACACUACAAGGGGAAGAUAAAGGGAUUGAGGAUAACAGUGUGUUGUAUGAUUCCCAAGCAGGGCUGGCCCUCCCAUGAGGAAAGGUGAGGCAACCUUCUCUGGUGGCAAGAUCCACAGGGGCAGCAGAUCCCAAUGUUGAUCUUUAUUCCCCACUUGUUCCUGAUGGAGACAUUCACUCAUUCCUUCUUCCCUGGAGAGGAUGGAGAUGCCAUUUUGUGGCUUACCUCAGGCACCAAAGUGUUCUGGACCAGCUCUGCUCCCAAGAAGAUAGUGAUUGAUGCAGAGUUUACCUGUACCUAUCCAACCACUUACUAGAGCAAUUGCUGCAGCUAUGUGGGCAUAAGGCUGUGCUGCACCCAGGAUCCAGGAUCCAGAAAUUCUAUGCCUGAAGCUAUUGUAGUUCUGAAUGAUAUAUCUGGGCUUCACACUGACAAGCAACUUCACUAAAAUCUAAACUGACUUUGAUUUAACAUCAUCAGAGGCUAUGUCAUUCAAUCCUCCACAAGUAGCAUCUAAUACAAAGAAAGAUAUAAACAGAAGACUUUCUGGGUUCAUACAUGCUCUUUGUAUUCUAAGUCAAAACAUCAACAUAUGUAAAUCAAUUUAUGUAAUAAAAAAUCUUUUAUUUCUGGGUUGCAAAAUGGUUGUCUCUUCUUUAAAGAAGCUGUUCUGACCAAAUGUGAAAAACAGUUGAAAAGCAGAUCCAAAUUUCAACUGAAGAAACUGAAACUUUGAGAUGAAAACAGAAACUUAUUAUUUAUUUUUAUGAAGCUAUAUAGAGCUUGUGGUUGCCAGACCACUAUAAAUUCUGGACCCAGCAAGUGUCAGAAUUUAAUUAGGGUUUGGGAUGCCAAACUAUGUACUAGACAUCUCUAAUCCCCUGAAUCAGCAGCUGAUUAAUAUAAGCUAAUUUCCCAUGAAGUGAUAGGCUGGGUGAUGUGUCAAAGGAUCAAAGGGAACCCAGUGUGAAAUGGCAAAGACAUCCCCUCUCCAAAAUUAUCCAGUUCCCCUCCCCCAUUACAUUCAUAUAAUUGACCUAGGUACCCAGAAGCCAUUGUUCUUGGUGAGAACUUGCUGCUCACACAAAUAGAAAGUUAUCAUGUUGCUUCCAUCAACACCUUGCUGACAAGGUACCCACGAAGGCACAAGAAGCAGUACCUACCUCCCUCCAUUUUCUCGCUUCUCCAUUACAUGGUUGCAUACAAAAAAACAACAAAAAACAAGCAAAAUCAUGUUCUUCCUAACCUAUAAUUCCAUGAGGUGAUAAAUAUAUUUACUUGACAGUUCUACCAAUGAUGAUGCGCCAUGGAGUCUGUAAAAAAUUGCAAGUGAUUGUCUCCCCUGCAAUUAUUAAAAUGACAAUAAUUAAGUCACCUUGCCAAUGCUCCAGAAGGCAAAAUGUCGGGUAGGGGAGAAUCAGCAAACAAGUCUGAAAUGUUUAUAGUCUCCCAGUGUUCCAUAGACAGAAUAAUGCAGGAGAGAGAGGCCAGGCUCUGUGAUUGUACCGGUCAUAUAUCAAAUCACAUCAUCUUAUUUACCAUUCAAGGCAGGUAUUUGCGACAGAGUUUAAUGAUAUGAUGUAUGCAUGUCCCUUUAAUCACUGAACUGGCAGAGUCUGCUGCCUCCAAAUCGAUGCUGGUCAAAUCAGGCUGCUGAUGAUAAUAAUGAUAUUGUAGAGAGGCCAAGAAGAGUCCAUGUGUAGAACCUUGCUGCUGCUGCUUCUCUUGCUCUUCCCCAACAUGGUGUGCCAAGUGCAUAGUGCUCAUUUUACCACAACUAAUCCUGUACCUAUUCCACAUGAGUGGUAUGAGCCAGGUGACCCUGUCAUUGGUGGCAUAGCAUCUCAUAUCCGCUACGUCUUCCCCAAUGUUUUAUUUAAUAUACACCCCUCUGAAGCCUUCAUUAACAACCCACUGUAAGUAAAUAGUCCUUAAUAUGAUUUUAUUAAUUCUUUACAUUUUUAUAUUUGACUGAAAUAUACUUUGUUUUGAAUGAGUAAUUUUAGAAUUGUAUUAAUAAACUGUAUUAAUC